GACUAACGCUGGCGGAAUGCCUCAUACAUGCAAGUCGUACGAUCCUUCGGGAUAGUGGCGGACGGGUGAGUAAUACGUAGGUAACGUACCUUAUACGUGGGGGACAACAGUGGGAAACCGCUGCUAAUACCGCAUAAGACAAGAGGUGAAACUCCUCUUAGUUUAAAGAGCAAUCGGUACAAGAUCGGCCUGCGUCGGAUUAGCUUGUUGGCAAGGGUAAAAGCCUACCAAGGCUACGAUCCGAACUGGUCUGAGAGGAUGACCAGUCACAGUGGGACUGAGACACGGCCCACACUCC
rnacentral:rRNA from 1 species